UUAUAUGCUGAAUUCGAUCAGAUGCUGAAAGAUCCCCGAAGAGAGACCCUUACUCAAGUCUUGGGAAAUCGCGGACCCCAGACACAGAGAGACCA
rnacentral:pre_miRNA from 14 species